GGAUCCUUCAUACCUCCAAACGGAAGUCGCUGCAAGCUGCUCGUUGUACGUACCGAGUCACCCAACGAUGUUGAGUAAAGUGAUCGGCCAGAAAUAUGUGGCAGUUGCUAAGUCGUGGGUCCCAACACUGGCUGUAUGGGGAACAGUUGGCGGUGUAGCCAUGAUUCACUUUACAGACUGGCGAUUGUUUUUGGACUAUGUGCCCUAUAUCAGUGGAAAGUUCAAGAAGGAUGAAUAGUGUUGAUCAGGAGGUCCUCUGUUUACAAACAGGUUCCGUUCCUAUGAUUUUUAGUUUGCUGUUGGAGAUUCUGAACAAGGACUGCUGCAGCUGCUGUUUUGCACUGCACUCCAAACCAACUGUAAUUUUCAUCCUGCUGAGGAAACAGCGCUGAGAUGUUCACCACCAACAUCAGUACACUUGGGCUUCAUUAUUGAUAGUUCAUCAAACUAUGAAAUCAUGAGUGGAAAGAAUAUAAAAAUAGAGACAAUGCAUGGACUUUUUAUUUUCUUUCUUCGAACAGUUUGAGGUUCUUAUUUUAAUAAUUAAUUCCACAUGUGCUGUCAUCCAGUCUUGUCUGAUUGACAAAUGUUUCACUCUGCAUUUCAAGCUUCAACUGUUUUGGAAGAGUAAAUGUGAGCUAUCUUG